GAGAGGUUGAGGGAGGCUCUGCUCAGCUGUGAGGCAACAGAAGGCAGGAUCGGUGCUGAUCUCCGCCAUGGCCUGGUCCCCUCUCCUCCUCACCCUCCUCGCUCACUGCACAGGGAUUUGGGCUCAAUUGGGGCCAAAUCAACCAUCCUCAGUGUCUGGGGCCCUGGGCCAGAGGGUCACCAUCUCCUGCACUGGAGUUGAUAGUUACGUGGGUUGGUACCAACAAAUCCCAGGAAUGGCCCCCAAAGCCAUCAUCUAAGAUAAUA